CUGGGGGGUACUUAAGGGGCUGGAGGAGUACUUAAGGGGCUGGGGGGGAUCUGUGGGGCUGGGGGCUACUUAUGGGGCUGGGGGGGAUCUGUGGGGCUGGGGGGGAUCUAUGGGGCUGGGGGGGUACUUAUGGGGCUGGGGGGUACUUAUGGGGCUGGGGGGGAUCUGUGGGGCUGGGGGGGAUCUGUGGGGCUGGGGGGGGAUCUCUGGGGUUGGGGGGUACUUAUGGGGCUGGGGGGGAUCUGUGGGGCUGGGGGGAAUCUAUGGGGCUAGAAAGGAUUUAUGGAGCUGGAGAAGAUCAGUAGGAUUUUACGGGGUUCUUAUGGGGUUGGAAUGGAUCUAUGGGCUUGGGAGAGGAUCUAUGGGGCAGGGGGCGAUCUAUGGGGCUGGAGGAGACCUAUAGGGCACGGGGGGGGGGAUAUAUGGGGCACGGGAGGGAUCUACGGGGCUGGGAGGGGAUCUGUGGGGCCGGGGGGAACUGUGGGGCUGAGGGAGAUCUAUGGGGCUGAAGGAAAUCUGUGGGGCUGGGGGGGAUAUAUGGGGCUGGGAAGGGAUCUAUGGGGCUGGAAGGAUCAGCAGGGUUCUGUGGGGUACUUAUGGGGCUGGGGGGUACCUGUGGGGCCGGGGGGGGCCGUGGGGCCAGGCGGGGGCGCUCACACACAGCACACAGCACAGCGGGACCCACAUUGAGGUACGUGCAGGAGGCGCACGGCCAGACCCACAGCGACGGCGCCUCUGCGGGGCUGCCCCAUAGCGGCCGCUCAGCCACCCCACAGGGAACACAGGGACCCAUAGGGACACAUAGGGACCCCACAGGGACCACAGGGACCCACAGAGACCCAAAAAGACCCAUAGAGACCCCAUAGAGACCCCAUAGAGACCCAUAGAGACCCAUAGAGACCCAAAAAGACCCAUAGAGACCUCAUAGAGACCUCAUAGAGACCCACAGGAAUCCAUAAAGAUCUAUAGAGACCCACAGGAACCCAUAGAGACCCCACAGGGACCCAUAGGGACCCACAGGGACCCCAUAGGGACCCAUAGAGACCCAUAGGGACCCAUAGGGACCCCACAGGGACCCAUAGAGACCCAUAGCGACCCAUAGGGACCCAUAGGGACCCCACAGGGACCCAUAAAGAUCCCUAGAGACCCCAUAGAGACCCCACAGAGACCCAUAAGGACCCACAAAGACCCCUAAAAACCCCAUAGAGAACCAUACCAACCAAUAGGGACCCAUAGAGACCCAUAGAGACCCCAUAGAGACCCCAUAGAGGCCCAUAAGGACCCAUAGAAACCCAUAGCGACCCCAUAAAGACCACAGGGACCCACAGAGACCCAUACAGACCCCAUAGAGACCCAUAGAGACCCCGUAGAAGCGCAUAAGGACCCAUAAAAACCCAUAGCGACCCCAUAUGGACCACAGAAACCCAUAGAGACCCAUACAGACCCCAUAGAGACCCAUAGGGACCCACAGGGACACACGGAGACCCCAUGAAGACCCAUAGAGGCCCCAUAGAGACCCAUAAGGACUCAUAGAGACCCCAUAGAGACCCAUAGAGAUCCCAUCGGGACCCACAGUGCCCCACAGAGAUCCCACAGCGCCCCAUAGGGCCAUACCUUUCCCCCCCCGAGGUGGGGGUCGCUUGUGGGGCCGCUCCUGUGGGGACAUAUAGGGUCAGCCCGGCACCCCAUAGAAUUCUCCAGCCCCAUAAGAACCCCACAGAGCCCCAUAGGACCCCACAGAGCCCCAUAGAUUCCACCCAGCCCCAUAGGAACGCCAUAGGAACCCCAUAGAGCCCCCAUCGACCCCUCCCAGCCCCAUAGCACCCCACAGAUCCCCAUAUGACCCCACAGAGCCCCAGAGAGCCCCCCCAGCCCCAUAGCGCCCCACAGAUCCCCGUAUGACCCCACAGAGCCCCAUAGAGCCCCCCCAGCCCCAUAGCGCCCCACAGAUCCCCAUAUGACCCCACAGAGCCCCAUAGAGCCCUCCCAGCCCCAUAGCGCCCCACAGAUCCCCAUAUGACCCCACAGAGCCCCAUAGAGCCCCCAUAGAGCCCUCCCAGCCCCAUAGCGCCCCACAGAUCCCCAUAUGACUGCACAGAGCCCCAUAGAGCCCCCCCAGCCCCAUAGCAACCCCAUAGAGCCCCAUAGAGCCCUCCCAGCCCCAUAGGAACCCCACAGAGCCCCAUAGAGCCCCCAUAGAGUCCCCCCAGCCCCAUAGCGCCCCACAGAUCCCCGUAUGACCCCACAGAGCCCCAUAGAGCCCCCCCAGUCCCAUAGCGCCCCACAGAUCCCCGUAUGACCCCACAGAGCCCCAUAGAGCCCCCAUAGAGCCCUCCCAGCCCCAUAGCGCCCCACAGAUCCCCGUAUGACCCCACAGAGCCCCAUAGAGCCCUCCCAGCCCCAUAGCGCCCCACAGAUCCCCACCUUCAUUCCUGUCCCCAUCCGACUCCAGCGGCUCCUCGGGCUCCAGCGGAUCCUGGGGCAGAACACACCAGUAUGGACCAGUAUAAACCAGUACAAACCAGUACGAACCAGUACGAACCAGUAUAAACCAGUACGGACCAGUAUAAACCAGUACAGACCAGUAUAAACCAGUAUAAACCAGUACAGACCAGUAUAAAC
rnacentral:lncRNA from 1 species